GGCCAGUGUGAUAUAAUGGUUUGAGCACUGUGGACUAUGACUCUGGAGACCAGGGUUCAAAUCCCAGCUUGGCCA